rnacentral:rRNA from 1 species
CAUGGUUGUCGUCAGCCCGUGUCGUGAGAUGUUGGGUUAAGUCCGCACGAGCGCAACCCCUAUUGUUAGUUGCCAUCAUUCAGUUGGGCACUCUAGCGAGACUGCCGGUAAUAAACCGGAGGAAGGUGGGGAUGACGUCAAAUCAUCAUGCCCCUUAUGACCUGGGCUACACACGUGCUACAAUGGUUGGUACAACGAGUUGCGAGUCGGUGACGGCGAGCUAAUCUCUUAAAGCCAAUCUCAGUUCGGAUUGUAGGCUGCAACUCGCCUACAUGAAGUCGGAAUCGCUAGUAAUCGCGGAUCAGCACGCCGCGGUGAAUACGUUCCCGGGCCUU